rnacentral:rRNA from 1 species
UACGAAGGGGGCUAGCGUUGUUCGGAAUCACUGGGCGUAAAGCGCACGUAGGCGGAUUUUUAAGUCAGGGGUGAAAUCCCGAGGCUCAACCUCGGAACUGCCUUUGAUACUGGAGAUCUUGAGUCCGGAAGAGGUAAGUGGAACUGCGAGUGUAGAGGUGAAAUUCGUAGAUAUUGGGAAGAACACCGGUGGCGAAGGCGGCGCUCUGGACCGAGACUGACGCUGAGGCGCGAAAGCGUGGGGAGCAAACAGG